CCUGACGAGGAUGAGAACCUCCGGGGGCAAGAGGUUCGACCCGAGCGAAGCGAGAGAACGUUGCGUCAGCAACGGCCCGCAGGGCGAGCCACGCAGUGGCGAGUCAUCCUCUAUCACCGACCA
rnacentral:sRNA from 2 species